AAGAAGAAGAAGAAGGACAACAUUUCUUCAAACGUUUCAUGCAAAAGAUUCAACAAAUCUAAGACUUUCUGUGUGUGUGUGUGUGUGUGUGUGUGUGUGUGUGUGUGUGUGUGUGUGUGUGUGUGUGUGUGCAUAUCACAUGCCUCCAUCCUACUGUGACUCUACAGCAACCAGCUUAUGCCUCUCUGAUUUGGUGACAUCUUGACUUGAUCCAGUAGAUGACGACAGACACGAAGAAACUCAGCAAUGCGACAGGAUGAGGCCUGCGGCCGAACGCGGCGUAUUAAUACAGGGGGAAACGUUGAAUAGAGUCCAACCAGCUGGAAAAAAAGAGCUUCUGUCCACCCACAGUGCCACUGCAUGAUCAGCGAUGGUGUGGAUGUUAAAGCAAGGGAGGAAAUAUAUAGCCUGAAGAGGGA